GAUGAACGCUGGCGGCGUGCCUAAUACAUGCAAGUCGAGCGAACGGACGAGAAGCUUGCUUCUCUGAUGUUAGCGGCGGACGGGUGAGUAACACGUGGAUAACCUACCUAUAAGACUGGGAUAACUUCGGGAAACCGGAGCUAAUACCGGAUAAUAUUUUGAACCGCAUGGUUCAAAAGUGAAAGACGGUCUUGCUGUCACUUAUAGAUGGAUCCGCGCUGCAUUAGCUAGUUGGUAGGGUAACGGCUUACCAAGGCAACGAUGCAUAGCCGACCUGAGAGGGUGAUCGGCCACACUGGAACUGAGACACGGUCCAGACUCCUACGGGAGGCAGCAGUAGGGAAUCUUCCGCAAAGGGCGAAAGCCUGACGGAGCAACGCCGCGUGAGUGAUGAAGGUCUUCGGAUCGUAAAACUCUGUUAUUAGGGAAGAACAUAUGUGUAAGUAACUGUGCACAUCUUGACGGUACCUAAUCAGAAAGCCACGGCUAACUACGUG
rnacentral:rRNA from 1 species